rnacentral:rRNA from 1 species
UACAGAGGGGGCAAGCGUUGUUCGGAAUUACUGGGCGUAAAGGGCGCGUAGGCGGCCCGCUAAGUCGAACGUGAAAUCCCUGGGCUCAACCCAGGAACUGCGUCCGAUACUGGCAGGCUUGAAUCCGGGAGAGGGAAGCGGAAUUCCAGGUGUAGCGGUGAAAUGCGCAGAUAUCGGGAGGAACACCAGUGGCGAAGGCGGCACUCUGGGCCGGAACUGACGCUGAGGAGCGAAAGCGUGGGGAGCGAACAGG